AACGUAGGAGGCGAGCGUUAUCCGGAUUUACUGGGCGUAAAGCGCGUGCAGGCGGUUGGUUAAGUCGUGCGUGAAAGCUCCCUGGCUCAACCGGGAGAGGUCGUGCGAUACUGGCUGACUGGAGACAGAGAGAGGCAAGUGGAAUUCCGGGUGUAGUGGUGAAAUGCGUAGAUAUCCGGAGGAACACCGGUGGCGAAGGCGACUUGCUGGCUCUGAUCUGACGCUCAGACGCGAAAGCAUAGGGAGCGAACGGG
rnacentral:rRNA from 1 species